rnacentral:rRNA from 1 species
UACGUAGGUGGCAAGCGUUGUCCGGAUUUACUGGGCGUAAAGCGUGCGCAGGCGGCGCGUUAAGACAGGUGUGAAAGCCCCCGAGCUUAACUUGGGAAUUGCGCUUGUGACUGGCGUGCUGGAGUGUGGCAGAGGGAGGUGGAAUUCCACGUGUAGCAGUGAAAUGCGUAGAGAUGAUGGAGGAACACCGAUGGCGAAGGCAGCCUCCUGGGCCAGCACUGACGCUCAUGCACGAAAGCGUGGGGAGCAAACAGG